GCUGUGAUGACUUCGUGGCAAUGAUCAAUUUGAAUUGAUUUAGUCCACAUGUCCUCUAAGAAGUUCUGAGCUU